rnacentral:rRNA from 1 species
GUGUGCUUACAAGUAGUCAGAGCCCGUUAAUGGGUGAUGGCGUGCCUUUUGUAGAAUGAACCGGCGAGUUACGAUUUGAUGCAAGGUUAAGCAGUAAAUGUGGAGCCGUAGCGAAAGCGAGUCUGAAUAGGGCGUUUAGUAUUUGGUCGUAGACCCGAAACCGGGUGAUCUACCCUUGGUCAGGUUGAAGUUCAGGUAACACUGAAUGGAGGACCGAACCGACUUACGUUGAAAAGUGAGCGGAUGAACUGAGGGUAGCGGAGAAAUUCCAAUCGAACCUGGAGAUAGCUGGUUCUCUCCGAAAUAGCUUUAGGGCUAGCCUCAAGUGAUGAUUAUUGGAGGUAGAGCACUGUUUGGACGAGGGGCCCCUCUCGGGUUACCGAAUUCAGACAAACUCCGAAUGCCAAUUAAUUUAACUUGGGAGUCAGAACAUGGGUGAUAAGGUCCGUGUUCGAAAGGGAAACAGCCCAGACCACCAGCUAAGGUCCCAAAAUAUAUGUUAAGUGGAAAAGGAUGUGGCGUUGCCCAGACAACUAGGAUGUUGGCUUAGAAGCAGCCAUCAUUUAAAGAGUGCGUAAUAGCUCACUAGUCGAGUGACACUGCGCCGAAAAUGUACCGGGGCUAUACAUAUUACCGAAGCUGUGGAUUGUCCUUUGGACAAUGGUAGGAGAGCGUUCUAAGGGCGUUGAAGCAUGAUCGUAAGGACAUGUGGAGCGCUUAGAAGUGAGAAUGCCGGUGUGAGUAGCGAAAGACGGGUGAGAAUCCCGUCCACCGAUUGACUAAGGUUUCCAGAGGAAGGCUCGUCCGCUCUGGGUUAGUCGGGUCCUAAGCUGAGGCCGACAGGCGUAGGCGAUGGAUAACAGGUUGAUAUUCCUGUACCACCUAUAAUCGUUUUAAUCGAUGGGGGGACGCAGUAGGAUAGGCGAAGCGUGCGAUUGGAUUGCACGUCUAAGCAGUAAGGCUGAGUAUUAGGCAAAUCCGGUACUCGUUAAGGCUGAGCUGUGAUGGGGAGAAGACAUUGUGUCUUCGAGUCGUUGAUUUCACACUGCCGAGAAAAGCCUCUAGAUAGAAAAUAGGUGCCCGUACCGCAAACCGACACAGGUAGUCAAGAUGAGAAUUCUAAGGUGAGCGAGCGAACUCUCGUUAAGGAACUCGGCAAAAUGACCCCGUAACUUCGGGAGAAGGGGUGCUCUUUAGGGU